GGAGUUAGCCGGUGCUUCUUCUGUGAGUGAUGUCCUUCCUGCCGGUUAUUGACCCGCAGGCCUUCUUCCUCACUGAAAGUGCUUUACAACCCGAAGGCCUUCUUCACACACGCGGCAUGGCUGGAUCAGGGUUGCCCCCAUUGUCCAAUAUUCCCCACUGCUGCCUCCCGUAGGAGUCUGGGCCGUGUCUCAGUCCCAGUGUGGCUGAUCAUCCUCUCAGACCAGCUACGGAUCGUCGCCUUGGUGAGCCGUUACCUCACCAACCAGCUAAUCCGACAUAGGCUCAUCCGAUAGCGCGAGGCCCGAAGGUCCCCCGCUUUCCCCCGUAGGGCGUAUGCGGUAUUAGCCUGGGUUUCCCCAGGUUAUCCCCCACUACCGGGCAGAUUCCUAUGCAUUACUCACCCGUCCGCCGCUCGCCACCAGGGAGCAAGCUCCCCGUGCUGCCGCUCGACUUGCAUGUGUAGCUCGCCGCCACGCGUCAUCUGAGCGAGAUACAACUACUGA
rnacentral:rRNA from 1 species